GCAGCAGCCGCGGUAAUACGUAGGUCCCGAGCAUUGUCCGGAUUUAUUGGGCGUAAAGCGGGCGCAGGCGGUUUGAUAAGUCUGAAGUUAAAGGCUGUGGCUCAACCAUAGUUCGCUUUGGAAACUGUCAAACUUGAGUGCAGAAGGGGAGAGUGGAAUUCCAUGUGUAGCGGUGAAAUGCGUAGAUAUAUGGAGGAACACCGGUGGCGAAAGCGGCUCUCUGGUCUGUAACUGACGCUGAGGCUCGAAAGCGUGGGGAGCGAACAGGAUUAGAUACCCGCGUAGUCCCUGUCUCUUAUACA
rnacentral:rRNA from 1 species